UCUUCAGGAGACGACUUUGAAAUCUCUAAGAUUGUUUAAUAUCGUCAUGCUCUUUAUUUUAUUUUUCUACUUUUUCUUACAAAAAUAUAUUUUUAAAGUAUUCUCAUCAUGAAAGCAGUGCUAAUGAAGGUACUCCAGUGGCGUCAACAUCAAGUACAAAUGAUGCCAGUUUCCCUGGAACACAUCUGUUUUUAAUUUGAGGCAGCUUGUCCAGUAUGUGAAGAGGAAUAUCUGCUGGAUAUUUUACAGAUCCAUGCCAGCUGUUGUGGAGACAGUCUUGAGGAGACCUCACCCAGACCAGAACAGGUUUCCAAAUCACUUGGAGGUUCACUGAAAAAGUCACUGACACAUGUUAAUAUAUCAUUUAUAGCUGACACAUUUCACACAUAGGU